rnacentral:rRNA from 1 species
UCGAGAAUCUUCGGCAAUGGGCGCAAGCCUGACCGAGCGACGCCGCGUGGAGGACGAAGGCCUUCGGGUUGUAAACUCCUGUCGAGGGGGAAGAAGGCCGGGUAACCGGCUUGACUUAUCCCUGGAGGAAGCACGGGCUAAGUUCGUGCCAGCAGCCGCGGUAAGACGAACCGUGCGAACGUUAUUCGGAAUCACUGGGCUUAAAGCGCGUGUAGGCGGAACGGCACGUCGGUCGCUGAAAUCCCCCGGCUCAACCGGGGAACGGGCACCGAUACGACCGUUCUCGAGGGACGUAGGGGGACCUGGAACUUCCGGUGGAGCGGUGAAAUGCGUUGAGAUCGGAAGGAACGCCCGUGGCGAAAGCGAGGUCCUGGACGUUUUCUGACGCUGAGACGCGAAAGCCAGGGGAGCGAACGGG